AUGACUCUUGGCCCAUCGGUCAUCCACUCUCACAAAUUCCAUCCUCCUAAGAGAGUGGUUGUUGUAGGUGUCAAUGUAUGACAGCCUACAAACAGUCUCUCCAUCAAAAUCGACUCCAUCUCUCUAAAGAUAACUGUGAGGGCUAUACCAUAGGGCAAGGGAGCCUUGGACCUGUUCAAGACUUCCCUCAUAGCAUCAAUCAUU
rnacentral:lncRNA from 1 species